rnacentral:rRNA from 1 species
UGAACUGGGAAGGAUCAUUGUGAAUCCUACAAACACAAACGACCGGGAACUUGUUAAACAACGCGGGGAUGGGAUGCGGGCGGCAGAGAUGCCCCCCCAUCCCGCCCCAAAGUCGGGGCGCGAGCCUCGCGAAAACGAACCCCGGCGCGGAAUGCGCCAAGGAAUACAUAAGAUGAGGGCCUUCCCCUCCACGCCCCGUCCGCGGAGCGCGGGGAGGGGCAACGGCUUCUUCUCGAAUGAAAAACAACUCUCGGCAACGGAUAUCUAGGCUCUCGCAUCGAUGAAGGACGUAGCAAAAUGCGAUACUUGGUGUGAAUUGCAGAAUCCCGUGAAUCAUCGAGUCUUUGAACGCAAGUUGCGCCCAAAGCCGUAGUGCCGAGGGCACGUCUGCCUGGGCGUCACGCAUCGCGUCGCCCCCCGCAAUCCCCGCCCGACGAGGGCGCGGCUCGUGCGCGGGGGCGGAGUGUGGCCUCCCGUGCCCCCUACCCGGCGCGGUUGGCCGAAAUUCGAGUCCGGGGCAAAGGACGUCACGACGAGUGGUGGUUGCCUAUCUCAACUCUCGUGCUGUCGUGCCGUGUCCUGUAGCCCGACUUGGACUGACGAUACCCUGACGCGCCUGUCUCUUCCUGACGGGACGAGCCAUGCGUUACGACCGCGACCCCAGGUCAGGCGGGACUACCCGCUGAUUUUAAA